rnacentral:tRNA from 1 species
GGCCCCGUCGUCUAGAGGCCUAGGACAUCGCCCUUUCACGGCGGUAACACGGGUUCGACUCCCGUCGGGGUCACUA